CAAAGAAGUAUAAAUGUAAUUAGAUUUCCCGUCAGAGCCAUAGAACCUGAGCCGGAACGAAGGUAGUCUAACCGACCCUCAACUCUUUCUAAAACUUUCGAGAUCCGGAAGAACGGUCGAACGAAGAUCGAUAGCUGUCGGUACUUCUAUGGAGUCAAAAUACCCGUCGUUAGAGAAUAUAAAUAGCUCAAGCUCGAGCACCCCUCGUCGUUCCUCGUCCUUCGUUUUAUAUUGUUCCAUAUUCCUUCCCAAUGUACUUAAAGGAAGUACAGAACUGCAUGCUGUGCGCAGGUUUUCAGUACCUUGCUGUGUCAAUUGUCCAACUGUAUUAUCCAUUUCUGCGCUCUCGCUUGCAGCAAAACGCUCUAGAAAGAGCGUAUUAUGAAACUUGGGAGAAAGGAGAUCAUGCAAGGAGGAAUCAAUAGUUCCUUCUUGCCCCAAACAAACUCCCCGACAGUUCCUUUCAAUGGACGCCAUCAUGGGUAUAUCCAUGGCGCUUCUGAGAUCGCUUCCAGUAAAGUCGUCAGCCGCUACUCUUCGAACUCGCUUUUUCAGUGCUUCUUCACAAAGCUUCUGAUUUCAGCAUGCUGUUCCCUAUUGGACAUGAUAUCCGCCGCAGCAUCCUGUAAUCGUUGUGGAGUAUCCAACACGUUUGCAGUGACGGUAUCAUACUUCAAUUGGGCUACCCUCUUUUCCGCCAGUUGUUUGAAUAGAGCUUGAGUGAGGAUGCUCAUUGGUUUGUCAAAGCCCCCCGAACGACUUUCAAAAGCCUCUUUCUGGCUCUUCAAAUUCGCAUUUUCCAGGCUACUUUAAUCAAACUGGCUCGUGAGCUGAGCCACCUGGCCUUGGAGAUGAGCAGUCCAUAAUUGGGCUUCAGAAAGCUUGGUGUAAAAACUCGCGAUAGGAAGCUCCUGUAGCUUCGAUUGUCAUUGCCGUUGACCAUGAUUACCUUAAAUUAUCUAGAAAGAUACUGGAAUUGUUGAGGGUGAAAAAUGAUAAGAGUUUGAGAGUGAAGAAUGCAGACUUCGAAAGGCGAAAGCCCGCAUUCUCUCCUUUGUAUCACAAGCGACGAGAUUAAUCGGUUUGCAAGUCAUCUCAAAGGAGCCUACUGUUAUAUACUUCCUGCCCAAGCAUACGAAAAUAAUGUAUCGACAUUGCUCUAUUCUGAUUUCCAACUGUCUAGGCCUAGGAGCAAAGUGGAACCCAGAUUGAUCGUGCUAGGCUUUCCCGUGCUUUCAAAGUACCCAUCCCUUGAUUCAAAGCCCAUCUCCACAUUUAGUUUCCCACUCAUCUCAUCGAUCCACGGAAUAGUGACCAUGCUCAACCCACUCAGAGUCCCUUGUCCCAUCGCUUUCUUGGUAAGCCGUGACUCAGCGUUCGAGAUGAGGCGGUUUUUGAUCGGGUCUCGUAACUUCAUAGAAGCUGCCGAGCUGAUUCUGUCCCAGUCACACCCCCGUAUCUUUUCAAGGACGGGUAUGGAAUAGAUAUAGAUCGAUGGCAGGGUUUUCAAAGCUUUGGCACCUUGUUUCGCCAAAAAAUCGACUGUUUCAUCUAUGACUGCGCUCUCGGCGGUCUUGAAGCUGUAUCGAUUAUUUACAUCUUCAAAUUUUGGUGAUUUCAGGUUUUUGGUUAUAUACCCACCAUUUCCAGGUAUCCCCAAACGCAUCUCCCACCCAAAGGGUCCAAUAUCGAUCCAAGGCUCUAAAUCCAUGGCCUUUACCAGAUCAUCUUUGGUGAAGUCGAAAUCUCCCGUAAUGGCAUCCACUUGGCUUCGUAGAAUGUCUGUAACAAAGCUCUUGAUCUCAUUUCGCUUUGACAGGCUAGACAUGAUAUCCUUUCUCGCUGCCUCUCUUUCUUUCGCUGUACUCAAUGCUUUGGUAGUCGCGGUAUCAGUCUCCCACAUACCAACUCGAUGAUUAGCCACGCUCUGGUGUAGAGCUUCACUAAGCUCCUCCGUUCGAAUGCUAAACCCUGUAGCCAGGAACAUGGCAGCUUCCAGGCGUUGCCUCAAGCUAUCAUUCUCACUCUUCAUACGUACGCCUUCCAAGGAGAGGGCGUUGGAAUGAUCUGUAAGGGCGGUGACUUGGGACCGUAAAUCCUCUGCGAUGGGUACUAUCUGCGAUAGCUGGGCACUGAGGGCGCUGUUCUGUGUAAAGAAGACAACUCGGAGCGGGUCUGCUUAUGGCGACUAUGAGAGGUAAGGAUCCGGGCGAAGGGAUUUCGUGGGACCGUACUAGAGCCUGAACUGGUAGCAGCGGUGUCCAUGGUUGUAAAUUGUUUGUCGGUUUGCUCUAUUUGACGAAAGGGUUAUGAAAAACUUC
rnacentral:sRNA from 1 species